AGAAAAUUGAAGGCUGUUUUAAAAAAAAGAACAAAACGCAAAGAAAAGACGAGGUUCUAGAAAAGAUCUGCCUUUUUGUGUUCUCGUGGUCUCCCUGGGACAUUUGCCUCAGAUGCCCUAACACCAAGGAGUCCUUUGAUCAGAACAGUGGAGAGUGCAGCCCAGAAGCAGAUAUCUGGGCUCAGGGAGAUGCUCAGCAGGGAGAAUCCCAGAGCACCUGUUCCCAGCCCAGGGGUCACGUCACCUGCUACACCAUGGACAUCUACCACGUGACCCCUGGGAGUGAGGGCCAGUGCCCACAAAGUAGUUGCCAUCAUGUACCACGAGCUUCUCAAACCCUCUAAAGUGGCCAUCACUCUUCCUAUUGACCUUUCUCUUUGGGUUCAACUUUUUGUGGUUAGUUUUGUUUAUUA
ensembl:lncRNA